rnacentral:tRNA from 1 species
UGCCGGGUCGUCUAACGGUAGGACUACGGUUUUUGGGGCCGUCUAUGGGGGUUCGAUUCCCUCCCCGGCAG